AUUCUGGUUGAUCCUGCCAGUAGUUAUAUGCUUGUCUCAAGAUUAAGCCAUGCAUGUCUAGUACACACGAAUUACAGUGAAACGCAAAAGCUCAUAUAUCAGUAUGGUCUUAGAUCGCUACAGUACUGAUACUGUGUAGUCUAGAGCUAUACAUGCAUAACACGACUUGACGUGUGCUUAUAGCUAACAGCGAUCGCAGAUCC
rnacentral:ncRNA from 1 species